ensembl:lncRNA
AAAUACAGCUCAUGGAGUUAUGCAUGUGUCUCACUGCGCACUACACACACAUCUCUGCAAUCACACACUUCUCCAGCAUGCACACAGGACUGCUCUCUCUGUGGGUGACAGGGGUUUUGUUGCUGCCUCAGUGUUUGGAUAAUACAACCAGUAUAAAUUAUGAUAUGUAUGUAACUCCCAAUCAAGGCAAUAAACAUGGAGAAUCCAAUUCAGUAAACGAAGAAGCAGUCCGCGGUGGCAUGAACCCGAUAAAUGAUGAGGCCUCAACAGUGUGUAGAUACUGUGCUGUAGGACUGGGACUUAUAGUGCAACGGUUCUGCCAAUAAACAUGACUGGGAUUUUUACACACACAGCCUGAACAAAGGGCUGAAAGAAUUUGGAUUUUCGGGCACUGCAGGAUGCCAUUUCAGAUGCCCAAGCAGCUUGACCUUUUCUUCAGAGGGUGCACUGUGGGUUCUUUUUAACUGUUCUUUUAAGCAUUUAUUCUGAGUUUUGUAAAACCUUCAUUAAAUAUAAAGUGUACACUGUAGAAUUUGGCCAAGCAAUAGUGACUUAUACAUUGGUUCAUCAAAAAGCCCUAGAAAGAUACACUUACUAUUACCCAUGCCUAAUUCACUUACAUUGUAAGCUAGCCACAUAGGCGUCACAAUGGAUCGUGAGCCUUUUUUUAUUGAAAAAAACCCCAAAACAAAUACAAAACAGAUAUCAGGUACAGAACUUAAUGUAAAGUUGCUGGCAGCAUACAUAGUAAAUUAUAGGGUUGAAUAUUAAUAGCAAAUAUGAAUAUAUUUUUAUUAACAAAUUGGGCAGAAUUCCACCUCCAUUUUUUUUAAAAAGAACAAUCAAUCAUGUAAUUGUAUGCAAACAAAUGUUUUUACACAACUUUAAAGCAUCAAACAUUUCAUUUUGGAAGCACCAACCUCUCAUUCAGACUUUGUAAAUCAAACAGAGUUGGAUAUAGAGAGAUUGAUGGAGAGAUAGAAAUAAAGCAGAAUGAUUUUUUAUAUUAAUUGUUAUAAUGAUGUUAGGGAGAAAACAAUUAUUACCGUGAUGUUACAGAAAACAAACAAACAAUAUCCAAUAUUACCGCAUGAGUGUAGAACACUCAUUUUUAAGCUGUUUGGCAAUCUCUUUGGCAUAAAAAACACACAAUUUGCUUAUACUCUUACAAAAAACGGUUCCUUAAGGGAUCAGUUUGCUUACACUCUCACAAAAAGGUCCUUCACUCCCUAAAGAGCUUUACUUGAAACCCUGUCUAUGAAGAAAACUCUGUUGUAGGGUUCUAUAAAGAAAUUUUAAGAAUUCCCUUAGAGUGACAAAAAAGAACCCCACAAUGAACAUUAAAUCACAGUUGUGGUAAAAAGAAAACCAAAAAUAAUUUCCUUUGAUUGCAAAUAUUUCACCCCCCCCCCCCCCCCCCCCCCAAGACAGAUUUACCACUCUUGCCUUGGCACAUUGGUAAUUUUUUAUUAAUUCACCUGAAGCGAUUAUCAGAAAAGGCUCUGCAGGCUUAUGCUAUUUUAUAGUCAGGUUUGAUCUUGUUUUGACUUGUUGACAAGAAUGAAAGCAAAGCACAGCUUUCGUUCUCUCUGAUUCUAUGUGAAAUUUUAGACAAAUGUUUAAAAACAACCCCUGUAUUUUUGUCCAAUCUGUCACAUGAACAGAAGCACAUUUUAAGCUGAAAGACUUGUUUUUGUCUGACUCUUGCAAGCCUUUGAUAUGUAUCAUUUUAGGAUUUUAUAUCUAAAUUUCAGAUGUGGGUAACGUUGCUGAAAGCUUUCCUCAAAUAAUCCCUACUGCUUGCAAAAAACAAUUAUAUCUUAAAUCCCUAAUUUAGGAGUAACUAUGGUAACUAGUUGAUGGUAACUAGAGUCAGCUGGUGUCCAAUAACCUUCACAUUGCAUUUGGAAGAGAGACAGAGAGAGAGACAGAGAGAGAGAGAGAGAGAGAGAGAGAGAGAACACCACCACAGCACUGCUACAAUACCCACCACAUACAAUCAUUAUUAAAGUCCCUUACUGCAGACAUGUAAUAAACAAAUAAAGGAAUUAUGCCUUGGGACAUAACAAUAUAAAAUGAGUAGAUUUUCAGUAGCCAUUCAGUAUAAAUAAGAGAUUAGUUAGUAUAUAUUAUUAUACUAACAUGAAUUACAGAAGAUAAUAAAAAAAGUUCAGCAUGACUAAAUCUCUGCCACAUUGUGAAGGGUAUUCUGUUUUUUUUCUUCUUUCAGUGAAUCAGAUCAUUUAACUAAGCUCACUGGUAAUAGAUGACUCCCAAAUAGCUCAGUGCCAUUUUUUAGUUUAAACUUAAUAAAUGUUGUGAUAUCAUGACAGUGAUUGUUAUUUCUUUGUUGCAUGGAAUCUUGUUUUACCUUCUAAUGGAAGAAAUAACAUUGUUUUGCAUAGAAUUUUGAAUCAGGUGCUACAAAUGUGCAUUAAAAAAUACUGGCUUUCACUGCA